rnacentral:rRNA from 1 species
AACGAACGCUGGCGGCAGGCCUAACACAUGCAAGUCGAACGCACCGCAAGGUGAGUGGCGCACGGGUGAGUAACACGUGGGAAUGUAUCCUUUGGUUCGGAAUAACGUCUGGAAACGGACGCUAAUACCGGAUGAGCCCUAUGGGGGAAAGAUUUAUCGCCGAAGGAGCAGCCCGCGUCUGAUUAGGUAGUUGGUGGGGUAAAGGCCUACCAAGCCGACGAUCAGUAGCUGGUCUGAGAGGAUGAUCAGCCACACUGGGACUGAGACACGGCCCAGACUCCUACGGGAGGCAGCAGUGGGGAAUAUUGGACAAUGGGCGCAAGCCUGAUCCAGCCAUGCCGCGUGAGUGAUGAAGGCCUUCGGGUUGUAAAGCUCUUUCGCACACGACGAUGAUGACGGUAGUGUGAGAAGAAGCCCCGGCUAACUUCGUGCCAGCCGCCGCAGUAGAAC